rnacentral:rRNA from 1 species
GAUGAACGCUGGCGGCGGGCCUAAUACAUGCAAGUCGAGCGAACGGACGAGAAGCUUGCUUUUCUGAUGUUAGCGGCGGACGGGUGAGUAACACGUGGAUAACCUACCUAUAAGACUGGGAGAACUUCGGGAAACCGGAGCUAAUACCGGAUAAUAUUUUGAACCGCAUGGUUCAAAAGUGAAAGGCGGUCUUGCUGUCACUUAUAGAUGGAUCCGCGCUGCAUUAGCUAGUUGGUAAGGUAACGGCUUACCAAGGCAACGAUGCAUAGCCGACCUGAGAGGGUGAUCGGCCACACUGGAACUGAGACACGGUCCAGACUCCUACGGGAGGCAGCAGUAGGGAAUCUUCCGCAAUGGGCGAAAGCCUGACGGAGCAACGCCGCGUGAGUGAUGAAGGUCUUCGGAUCGUAAAACUCUGUUAUUAGGGAAGAACAUAUGUGUAAGUAACUGUGCACAUCUUGACGGUACCUAAUCAGAAAGCCACGGCUAACUACGUG